AUUGAACGCUGGCGGCAGGCCUAACACAUGCAAGUCGAGCGGUAACAGGGGUAGCUUGCUACCCGCUGACGAGCGGCGGACGGGUGAGUAAUGCAUAGGAAUCUGCCCGAUAGUGGGGGAUAACCUGGGGAAACCCAGGCUAAUACCGCAUACGUCCUACGGGAGAAAGGGGGCUCCGGCUCCCGCUAUCGGAUGAGCCUAUGUCGGAUUAGCUGGUUGGUGAGGUAACGGCUCACCAAGGCGACGAUCCGUAGCUGGUCUGAGAGGAUGAUCAGCCACAUCGGGACUGAGACACGGCCCGAACUCCUACGGGAGGCAGCAGUGGGGAAUAUUGGACAAUGGGGGGAACCCUGAUCCAGCCAUGCCGCGUGUGUGAAGAAGGCCCUCGGGUUGUAAAGCACUUUCAGUGAGGAAGAACGCCUGGUGGUUAAUACCCAUCAGGAAAGACAUCACUCACAGAAGAAGCACCGGCUAACUCCGUGCCAGCAGCCGCGGUAAUACGGAGGGUGCGAGCGUUAAUCGGAAUUACUGGGCGUAAAGCGCGCGUAGGUGGCUUGAUAAGCCGGUUGUGAAAGCCCCGGGCUCAACCUGGGAACGGCAUCCGGAACUGUCAAGCUAGAGUGCAGGAGAGGAAGGUAGAAUUCCCGGGUGUAGCGGUGAAAUGCGUAGAGAUCGGGAGGAAUACCAGUGGCGAAGGCGGCCUUCUGGACUGACACUGACACUGAGGUGCGAAAGCGUGGGUAGCAACAGG
rnacentral:rRNA from 1 species